UCCACGCAGUAAACGUUGUACACUAGGUGUAGCGGGUAUUGACCCCUGCUGUGCCGGAGCUAACGUAUUAAGUGUACCGCCUGGGGAGUACGGUCGCAAGACUAAAACUCAAAGAAAUUGACGGGGGCCCGCACAAGCGGUGGAGCAUGUGGUUUAAUUCGACGCAACGCGAAGAACCUUACCCAGACUUGACAUCCUUGGAUCUGUAAGAGAAUAGAGUGCCCGGGAGCACA
rnacentral:rRNA from 1 species